GUGGAUUAGCGGCGGACGGGUGAGUAACACGUGAGUAACCUGCCUCAAAGAGGGGGAUAGCCUUCCGAAAGGAAGAUUAAUACCGCAUAAUAUACAGAAAUCACAUGUUUUCUGUAUCAAAGGAGCAAUCCGCUUUGAGAUGGACUCGCGGCGCAUUAGCUAGUUGGUAGGGUAACGGCCUACCAAGGCGACGAUGCGUAGCCGACCUGAGAGGGUGAUCGGCCACAUUGGGACUGAGACACGGCCCAGACUCCUACGGGAGGCAGCAGUGGGGAAU
rnacentral:rRNA from 1 species